GCGAUUUUAGCUCAGUUGGGAGAGCGUCAGACUGAAGAUCUGAAGGUCCUGUGUUCGAUCCACAGAAGUCGCA
rnacentral:tRNA from 1 species